rnacentral:rRNA from 1 species
GAGGAAUAUUGGACAAUGGGUGGAAGCCUGAUCCAGCCAUCCCGCGUGAAGGAUGACGGUCCUAUGGAUUGUAAACUUCUUUUGUACAGGGAUAAACCUGCCCUCGUGAGGGCAGCUGAAGGUACUGUACGAAUAAGCACCGGCUAACUCCGUGCCAGCAGCCGCGGUAAUACGGAGGGUGCGAGCGUUAUCCGGAUUUAUUGGGUUUAAAGGGUCCGUAGGCGGGCCUGUAAGUCAGUGGUGAAAUCUCAUAGCUUAACUAUGAAACUGCCAUUGAUACUGCAGGCCUUGAGUAAAUUUGAAGUAGCUGGAAUAAGUAGUGUAGCGGUGAAAUGCAUAGAUAUUACUUAGAACACCGAUUGCGAAGGCAGGUCACUAAGAUUUAACUGACGCUGAUGGACGAAAGCGUGGGGAGCGAACA